CACUCCGGCGAGGUCUUUGAUCGGCCACCGGCGAAGUUGUCUCUUUGUCUCUCUCUCUCUCUCUCUCUCUCAGUUUAGUUUAUUUGCGUUUGAAGGCUGACAUAUUCUCUGUGAUUGUGUAGGCACAGAGUGAUUGUAUGCAAUAGGCCAAUACCAGGUUCAUCGAUAAGCCCCUCCUCUCAUGGUCCGCUUCCGAUGUCGAAGAGUUCAUUGCUUUAGGCCCUGUUCACGGACCCACUGAAGCUAAGCUCGCUAGAGAGAAGACAAAUUUGACACAAGCUGGACAGGUCUCAUAUUUUUGCUGUGAACAUGUGCCUUAUAGAGUAUGGUUUGAAGGGCAGCAGGGGAAUUUUUUUGAAGACUAAUUAAUCUCAAUAACUACCAAGUGUUACCAGGAUAAGAAGCUUUUCUUCUCUGUUUCUAAUGAAAUUCUUAUUUGUUGACACUUAUUUUCUGCAUAUGUACUUGCAUAGCUAUUUUUCUUUAGGUAUAGUACGACUUGGAGAAAAAUAGAAAUUCAAAAUACAAAUCUUUCUAGACCUGUCACAUAGAAACAAUUGAGAUUAUAAUGUGAUCUCCUGCACAGUUUUUA